GAUGAAGAACGCAGCGAAAUGCGAUAAGUAAUGUGAAUUGCAGAAUUCAGUGAAUCAUCGAAUCUUUGAACGCACCUUGCGCCCUUUGGCCAUUCCGAAGGGCAUGUCUGUUUGAGUAUCAUGAACACCUCAACUCUUCAUGGUUUUCCAUGAUGAGCUUGGACUUUGGGGGUCUUGCUGGCCUGUGGGUCGGCUCCUCUCAAAUGAAUCAGCUUGCCAGUUUUUGGUGGGCAUCACAGGUGUGAUAACUAUCUACGCUUGUGGUUUUCCACCAGGGUAACCUUCAGCAGUGGAGGUUCACUGGAGCUUACAAAUGUCUCUCCUCUGUGAGGACAGCCCUUUGAAUGUUUGAUCUCAAAUCAGGUAGGACUACCCGCUGAACUUAAGCAUAUCAAUAAGCGGAGGA
rnacentral:misc_RNA from 1 species